rnacentral:rRNA from 1 species
CCUACGAGUGGCAGCAGUGAGGAAUAUUGGUCAAUGGACGAGAGUCUGAACCAGCCAAGUAGCGUGAAGGAUGACUGCCCUAUGGGUUGUAAACUUCUUUUAUAUGGGAAUACAAUGUUCCACGUGGGGGAUUUUGUAUGUACCAUAUGACUAAGGAUCGGCUAACUCCGUGCCAGCAGCCGCGGUAAUACGGAGGAUCCGAGCGUUAUCCGCAUUUAUUGGGUUUACAGGGAGCGUAGGUGGAUUGUUAAGUCAGUUGUGAAAGUUUGCGGCUCAAACGUAAAAUUGCAGUUGAAACUGGCAGUCUUGAGUACAGUAGAGGUGGGCGGAAUUCGUGGUGUAGCGGUGAAAUGCUUAGAUAUCACGAAGAACUCCGAUUGCGAAGGCAGUUCACUGGACUGCAACUGACACUGAGGCUCGAAAGUGUGGGUAUCAAACAGGAUUAGAUACCCCUGUAGUC